GACUUCAUCAGGCACUGCUAUCAUGGGGCACUGGUAACAAAUAAAUAUCACUUUGGAGGCCAUGUGCAGAUCAGAUUUGGAAGUGACCAAGACUGGAGGCAGGGACACCAGAGUUUUCUGUUAAAAACUGGUCCAUGCAAGAAAAGAUGACUCCUGAAAUAAGACAGUGAUCAUUAGGAUGAAGAGGAAGAGAAGAUUUGAGGAAUACUUAGAACAGAAUUUACUGAAUUUACUGGUUGAAUUGAAUGUGAAGAGGAGAUGAAUAAAGAAGAAAACACCCUCAAAGGGAACCCUGAGCAGAACACAUGCACAAACUCAUGCCAUACCCUAAGGGACAAGGUUCCCCACAUCUACUUGGAAAUCUUUGGGAUGCUCAAUGGAGAAAAACAAGGAGAGAAAAAUCUAAACCCAGCAGAAGAGAAAGUUUAAGAAAGCGGUCGUCGCCAAUACCAAAAUUAGCUAUGAUAUUCAGGAAGAAAAAAAUGGAAACACGAUAACCACAGUCAAUAAAGACCAAGGCCACAUUCCAUUGACCAGAGCUCAGCCACGCGCCACACCUGGCUAAAGAGACUCUGGCUGAAGAAUUCCCUGAAUAUUUUAAUGUAGCUCUAGGUUAUAACACAGAACAACCACAAGGUGGCAGAAGAACUCCAUUCUUGUAAAUCUCUUAGUUGCUUCUUUAUUUCAUCUUCCCUAUUCCAUCUAAUGUUCCCUGAAUUUUACUAUUUUGUUGGUUUGAAAAUAUGUGUGACUUACGUCCUUUAAAGGAUUUGGUUCGUAAGGUUUUGAAUAGACUGGAAUAUAAAACAUUUAUAGAAAAGAAAAAUACCUACAGUAUGAUGUUAGUGAACUAUUAAUAAUCCAAUUAAAUAAAAUAUAUUUGCUUUGGAUUAAUACA
rnacentral:lncRNA from 1 species